UACAGAGGGUGCAAGCGUUAAUCGGAAUUACUGGGCGUAAAGCGCGUGUAGGUGGUUUUAUAAGUUUGAUGUGAAAGCCCUGGGCUUAACCUGGGAAUGGCGUUGAAAACCGUACGGCUAGAGUCCGGAAGAGGAGAGUGGAAUUCCCGGUGUAGCGGUGAAAUGCGCAGAUAUCGGGAAGAACACCCGUGGCGAAGGCGGCUCUCUGGGACGGUACUGACGCUGAGACGCGAAAGCGUGGGGAGCGAACAGG
rnacentral:rRNA from 1 species